GCUAGAAUGUUGGGCAAAACCUUGUAGUUACUGAGUCCUUGGAGACGCCGUGAAGAUGAAGCCUAUAAUAUUGUAUUUAUUCGUACUGGUAGCGCUCAGUAGCAUGGCUCUAUGUGUGAUUCCACGUCCUACUGGCUUGACUAUUAGAUAUGCUUGCACAAGUAACUGCGUAAAUCGACGAGCUGGACAACCAUGCGGUAGCGGCUGUUCUUGUGUACGUAACAACGUUCACAGGGAUGUCUUAAUAUGCCUGGCCAAUCAUCAAAGAAGACCCUACGAUUUUGAUCGACAUCGAGGAUGAUUGUAAGCGUACACAUGCUAUCAAAAAAUGUGUGAAUUGGGUGCUUGUGCAGCUUCUGGAUUACCGUAAAGGAAGUGGUAUAAAGCAACGCAGAGCUGUACGGUUUUCUGACAUCUUUCUACCUAUUUUUCAUGGGAAAUAUCUGCUGAAUAAAAAAUAGCGCCCG